GACGAACGCUGGCGGCGUGCUUAACACAUGCAAGUCGAACGAAGUGGCGAACGGGUGAGUAACGCGUAAUCAACCUGCCCUUCAGAGGGGGACAACAGUUGAAAACGACUGCUAAUACCGCAUACUGAAGGAGGGGAUUGCGUCUGAUUAGGUAGUUGGAGGGGUAACGGCCCACCAAGGCGAUGAUCAGUAGCCGGUCUGAUGGGAUGAACGGCCAAAAUGGGACCGGAGCACGGCCCAGACUCCUUAGGGAGGCAGCAGUGGGGAAUCUUCCGAAAUGGACGAAAGUCUGACGGAGCAAAGCCGCGGGAGUGAUGACGGCCUUCGGGUUGUAAAGCUCUGUUAAGCGGGACGCGGUACCGGAAUAGAAAGCCACGGCUAACUACGUGCCAGCAGCCGCGGUAAUAC
rnacentral:rRNA from 1 species